UUGCUUUUUUUUCUCCAUGUGGCAGAGGGUCUCAUUUUUUGCUCAUCGUCAGCCAACCCUAGCUAACAAGUUGGAAAUGAGAGAGAAAUUAUUUUUGCUGGUUCCAGCCAGAGAUAUGCAAAAAGCUUGUAAUGAAACUGCAAGCCAAGUGAAAACAGAGCAACAAGAUAUUGCAUGUAGUAGAGAGUGGCUCCUGCUUCAAGUAGAAGAAAAAGAAGAGAGGGCAACCUCCUGGAAGCAGAUUGGGUCUUGUAUGCUGAGGGAACCCAAAGGAAGCAUCUUCAUGCUCAGUUGUGUUACUGCUGCCAUGUAG
rnacentral:lncRNA from 1 species